GAUGGGACUGAGACUUUCAUAUUUUCAUCGAACCCUGGCCAAUGAGUGUUUGGAGCUGGACUUGCUGAUGACACAAGGCCCCUGUCUGCUUGUUGUUGGCCUUGCUGAUGACACAAGGACCCUGUUUGGUUGCUCCUAACAACUGGAAAACCACAGAGUGUGAGUCAUCUCCAGCCCACUAUGACUUCUGCCAGGCUCAGCCUGAGUCAAAUGACAUGCAGUCAGGGGACAAGCUGUGGCCAGGGGACAGGGAAAUGACCCAGAUGACCCCACUGUGCCCCCGCCCCUCAGCCCAGAGUGCCCAAGGGAACGUACUCCAUGACAUCUCAUGAAGUCUUUGUGGUACUGAGGGCAGAGCAGACACUCUUGGGAGCAAUCCCAGGCCCUUAAAGGGGAGAGCUCCUGGGAGGAACCCUCACCUGAGUGGGGACCUUGCAGGCAAGUUCUUGGCCAUGCAGUGUCUGACGGGAAAGUGCAAAUUCAAGAGCUCUGCCUCCCUAAGGCUGCAAGCAUUUGGGAGUUUGGAAGAACCUUGCUGGAGCCCGGGCGAGAGGGAAUGGGACGGGCGCAGGGGGAGGAUUCCUGUUUUUCAUCUCAAGGCAGCUUGUCCUGAUACAACACCCGCUUCCCCUUGGGUCUCUGAAUUCCCGUCCAUACCGGUGGCAGUUCAGAGGCGGAGUACACUUUCAAAUCCAGGGCUUUAAAUGGGACGGCCUCUGUUAGAGACUAAACUCUGUCUCCCCUGAAGUUCCUCAGCUGAAGCCUUGACCCGGUACUCAGAACGGGGCUGUAUUGUGAGGGCCUUCAGGGUGGUGAGGAAGGUGAAAUGAGGUCGCUGGCUGGGUCCUAAUCCAAUCUGACUGGUAUCGUGAUGAGAAGAGGAGAUUAGGAUGCAGACACACAGGAAGGGCCCUGGGAGGACACAGAGAGAAGAGGGACAGGGCCAGCAGAGGAGGGAGGCCUCCGAAGAAACCAGCCUUGCUGUGACCUGGAUUUCAGAUCUCUGGCCUCCAGAACUGUGAGGAAAUCAGGGCCCGUUUUUGAAGCCACACAGUCUACGCGGCAGCCCUUGGGGGAAGAGCGGAUGUGGGUGCACGGCCUGCACUGGGGUUCCAAUGUCUUCGGGUGGGGCAGGGGCUGAGCAUGGGGGAGCUGUCCUCUGACAGUGAAGUUGUUUCUCAGUAACAGGGGGAAGGGGAGCGCGCCAGCCUGCCCUUUCUGAAGCCCUCCCCCUCGAUCUGCAGUGCCAGGCUCUGUCUGACUGGCUCUGAGAGGAUUUGCUCACCUGUCCUUUGUCAGAACUGGGGGAAGAAGGGAAGUUCAGAGCCGAUGUCAACCCGGAUUCACCUGAAGCACUGAGGGCCUUCGCAAUUUCUUCCCGAUACCCACUGGGAGUGGACGGGUGCAGGCUCGGGGUGGGGCUCUGCCUGCUCCUCCUCACACGGUGAUGGAGAAGGAAGGCACUCUGCAAAUGUCUCAACUGCUCCUAAAAGAUCAUUUUAACCCCCUUAACACUGAAAGUGCUUUGCAACAUUCACGUUGAAGGCUAAUUCCCUGUUGUGCACAGGGCAGCAACAGGUAACAUGUUUUCACCUUAAAGAGAAAAAGAAACACAACUUCUCAAAGGUACGUCCAUCAUUGCA
rnacentral:lncRNA from 13 species